rnacentral:lncRNA from 1 species
AAAGCAAGAGCGCAUUGCAUCUGGCCAUGUUCUUCUAAUAGGUAUCUGAAUAACUUUAUUUUUAGAGAGACUUCUUUUUUUUUUUUUUCCUGAAGUUUAAAGCACUUUCUUUUUCCUUAACAUUUCGUAUGCAGUGACAGCCCUAUUGCAUUUGUUUGUGGACUUUGGAGACAGGCAGAAAGGAUAAGCAAUUGACAAGGAGAAGAGACCGACCAUGAUGUAGAAAAGAGAUGCCUUUAGGCCUGGGUCCAAGAAAGACUGACUGGAGUCCAAGCCAACAAUAGCCCCAAGCCUGUCCUUCUUUUCAACCACUGCAGUGUUCCCUCUGGUCUCAUCAAAAACAGAUGGGAAAUAUAUUGCAGAUCAUUCACCUAAUUAAGAAGGGGUUCACUUUCUUUUAUGUCCAGUAAGAAUCUGCCUAGAGUGUGAAUACAGCACUUGAAAGAAAUUCCGAAUGAAGGAUUAGCCAUUGUCUACAGAUGGUGAUUUUCAGAGGUUUGUAACACGUAAUUGAAGUGUUUUC